rnacentral:rRNA from 1 species
GAUGAACGCUAGCGGCAGGCCUAACACAUGCAAGUCGAGGGAGAGGUUACCUUCGGGUAACCAAAACCGGCGCACGGGUGCGUAAAGCGUAUACAAUCUGCCUUUCACAUAGGGAUAGCCCGAAGAAAUUUGGAUUAAUACCUAAUGGUAUAUAAGAGCGGCAUCGUUUUUAUAUUAAAGCUACGGUGGUGAAAGAUGAGUAUGCGUUCUAUUAGCUAGUUGGAGAGGUAACGGCUCCACAAGGCGACGAUAGAUAGGGGUUCUGAGAGGGAUGUCCCCCACACUGGUACUGAGAUACGGACCAGACUCCUACGGGAGGCAGCAGUGAGGAAUAUUGGACAAUGGUCGGAAGACUGAUCCAGCCAUGCCGCGUGCAGGAUGAAGGUCCUAUGGAUUGUAAACUGCUUUUGUAAGGGAAGAAUAAGGAGUACGUGUACUUUGAUGACGGUACCUUACGAAUAAGCAUCGGCUAACUCCGUG